UACGUAGGUGGCAAGCGUUGUCCGGAUUUACUGGGCGUAAAGAGCGCGCAGGCGGUCGUUUAAGUCGCAUGUGAAAGCCCCCGGCUCAACUGGGGAGGGUCAUUCGAUACUGAUCGACUUGAAGGCAGGAGAGGGAAGUGGAAUUCCGGGUGUAGUGGUGAAAUGCGUAGAUAUCCGGAGGAACACCAGUGGCGAAGGCGACUUCCUGGCCUGUUCUUGACGCUGAGGCGCGAAAGCUGGGGGAGCAAACGGG
rnacentral:rRNA from 1 species